rnacentral:sRNA from 1 species
GGCUUAUCUCCAAUCUCUCACUGGCAUCAAUCGGAUCCCCUUAAUCGAAAACCCGUUUCUAAACCUGACCUGCUCCGCUAUCAAAAACCGAAUCAUACCGAAAUCUUCUCAAUUCAAGCUUCUAAUGCUUAAUGGCACUGCAUUUGCAAGAAUUGUGUUCGCCGACUAUGAGUUUAUUGAGAAACAAGUACAAGCUUCCUAUCACCCGCAAAACUUCUUCUGCUUUGCAGUCGAUGCGAAUUCUUCCGCAGAGUUUCAGAAAAGAAUGAAGGCACUUGAAAGGUGUCUGCCUAAUGUAUUUGUACUGCCAGGUAGGUUUACCUCUAAUUGUAGUGCACCAUGCCUUCCAGAUUCUAGUCACUGAAUCCUACGAUAGCAAGGGCCAUAACAUCAAUUUGGCACAUUACAACUGCAUGAAGAGACUUGAGGCUUCACGUGGAUGGGGAUACCUGAUGCUUCUGCAAAAUCAUGAUGUUAUCACUAAAUCAGUAUAUGAGUUGGAUCGAAUAUUCGAUUUGCUCGCCGGAGCCAACGAUGUGUUCAUGUCCAAAGAGAUUCCAGGAAGGAGGAAUAAACAUUCAAAGUGGGAUUUGAAAUCUUUGAGACUUUUUCGAAAUGGUUAGGAAAAGUGAGAAACUAUGAAGAAAUUCGGGGAAUUUUUUAGAAUCAAGAAAUUCGGAUUACGAACUUGAAAUUUCAAGUGGUUUUGUGCAGGCGUCGCUGUCGAGAGCUGUAGUGGAAUGGUUGGUGAAUGAAGUUGAUGUAUCGAUUCUUUUGCAGCAGUUGAAUAUGACG